AAUCCAUGCAUUGGACAUUUCUGAAGUAAUUCCUUAAAUCUUUCCCAAGCUUUAUACAACGUCUCAUUCUCUGAUUGCAGAAAAGACGUGAUGUCAUUUCUAUGCUU
rfam:Gossypium raimondii Chr04_contig_346, whole genome shotgun sequence.